rnacentral:lncRNA from 1 species
AGACCACAUGGUAUAUUCAAUUACAAACCAAAAUAAAACACCGUCAGGAAAAAGUUUGGAGUAAUGAAAACACGGAGAAGGCUAUAGGGGCAUGCAAAAAGGGCAUAUCAAUCCGUAAUGGCAUAUGUAAUGUUUAUAGUACCAAGGUCCACCACAAGUGACAGAAAAAGUGGAAAGGUUCCUCCCGACCAAGGCCAGACGGCACUGCCAUUAGGAGGUAGAAGAAACUCAGGAGAUAACGUCACGCCAUUAGGCCAAACAUAGUGGUUGUUUUUUAGACGGAGGCAAAACCCCAGAGCAUGCAGAAGGUAGACGACGUCCUUAAUAGAUGCAGAGCCAACCAGGCUACAAAACCUGAUAUGACUGAAUACUUUGAGCUCCUGGAGAAGACGCUGGAGCAACAUGGGUUGAAGGAUAAACAUUGUCAGAUGUAUAACUGUGCUGAGACAGGGUUCCAGAUGGAUGCAUCUAAAUGAAAGGUCCUUGCACCAAAGGGCUGGAAAAAGAAUUGCAUCCAGGCACUUGGUACACGUGUGUCAAUACUGGCUUGCUUUAAUGCAGCUGGUGAAGAUGUCCCCCCCUUUCAUAAUUUUUGGAAAGAGAUUCCCAGGAGGACCUUACACCAAGGAAGGUACAGCUAAUGCUCUCUAUGGCACAUUGCCAUCAGGAUACAUUGACAAUGAACUCUUCAGGGGGUGGUUUGGGAAUAAUUUCAUCAAGUAUGCUGUGAAAACAUGCCCCCUGCUGCUGGUGUUUAAUGGAAACAAAAGUCACCUGGAUCCGGAGGUGAUUGAGGCAGCAAGAAAAUAAAACGUUGUGCUCCUAGUUCUUCCUCCAAACAGCUCUCACAUUCUGAAGCCCCUGGAUUUGACCUACUUCUCUGCUUUGAAGACUGGGUUUUUCAAGGUGGCUGGAGACCUUUGCCACUUAAACUCCGUAGUCAUUUCCAAUAUGGACUUUCCCAUGGUUCUCCGUCAGCCGUACCAGCAAUGCAAAGAGCGGAAGAUUGUAGUCAGUGGGUUCAGAAAAGCUGGGAUCUUCCCCUUUAAUCCCAGUGCCAUAGAUUGGAGUAAAAUAGUUCCCUUGACAUCCAAAAAGCAACAGCCCCAAAGGACUGCGACUCCAUCAGCGCCACCAUCAGCAGUAACUCCCAGCAAGUACAUGUCCCACCCCCUGGGGGCAGCAGGACUGAAUAAUGCAGAAUUGGCUGAGGUCUUCACAGAGAUAGAUAAUCAAAAGAAGACGGCCCCAAGACCAAGUAAGAUGAAGACCCCACUGAAAGCUAGGGUUAUUACUGAGGAAGAGUAUGAGAGGGAGAUGAAACUGGAGUCGGCAAGGAAAAGAGACAGCAAGACACCGCCUCCUCGUAGCACAACCCCCGAUGCCGCGGAGAACCCCCAACCAGCCCUGCUACUUCUCCCUCAGGGUGAAACUGCAUCUCCUGCAGUCAAACAAACAAGUAAAUCCAGUAGAACUCCGAGCAGGUCACAUCAGAGUACUGAGGAGGGGAGAGACUGA